UGUAAUUAAGGAUUAGCAUUGUGUAUUAUUCUAUUUUAACUUAUUGACAUGGACUAUUGACGGACGAAUUCUCAUAUCAUGUUUUGGUUAAGUCUGAUUUCACUGUAGUUAGUACUUUAUUUUCACGGUUGAUUUGAGCGCUAUCGUACAUUUCUUCUAUUGGUCAGUACUUUUGGCGGUUUAAUUCCUUUGUUCUAGAUCUUAUGGGAAGACAUCUUGUGGGCAACACCUAUAUAUUUACCUGUCUGCAAUUUAACAACUUAAAGAAAUUAAUAUCUAAAAUAACAAUUCUGUGAUUGGAAAGUUUCUUAUAUAAGGUAUAUUUAAACCUUACCAAAGAUGUAGUGUUUGUUUAUAUAAUGGUUUAUAUGGAAAUGUGCCACUUGCACGAUAUGUGAGG